UUGCUUGACUAUUGGGCAAAGGGCCCGCCGACUUUGAAAGCGGUAUUGAGACUGUCAGUUGAUUGGCCGCUCGUAGGCUUCAUGGGAAAUGAGACAGUGGCAAGAAGGAAUAGGUGGCGCCCUCUGGCGGAAAGAAAAGCUAGGUCCUCCCGAGUACAGCCCUGCCAAAUGCAGCCACGUGUCUGCGCGGCUGGCUAGGGCCAGAUGUGGAGCCAUAUUGGCCACUAAUAGCUCAGACUGAGAGCUUGUGCGUUCUUUGGGCCAAUCGAAAUCGACCUGGGGCGUACCUGAACCAAUUACCAGGUUGCAGGGGAAAGCGGUAUUUCUCGCCCUUGCAGUUUACAAGAGGCGUAAGUCACUAUGGUGUGUUUGCUUGUUCUGAAAUAAUUACAAGCAUUAAUUACAACGGGAAGGUAUUCCAGUUUGUCUACUCAACAGCAGGCGGCAUGUUAUAUAAUUUACUGCAUUAAAGUAAGUAAAUUAGAGAAGGGAAGCCUCUGCUAUUUACCAUUUUAGGAUUUCUCCUUCACUCUCAAAAUAAAGCUGUCUAAAUCAGCACGGCCUGAUGCCAGAAGUAAUUAUAAGUAUGCUAUAUGUUUAACUUUAAAAAAAAAAUCGGACCCAGGGAUUGCAAUAGCAUAGUGAAAAUGACCACUGUCAUUACUGAAUUCAAAUUAAUAAUAAAUUUUACACAGACCUAAUAUAUGUGCUAUGCCCUAUUCUAAAUACGGGCCAUGCAUUGUUUCCUUUAGACUUUGAAAUCCACUGACAGGUAAGUACAAAUACUCAUAAUUUAUAGGUGAGAAUAAGACACAGUUGUUAAAUUACUUGCUCAACAUAUGCAGCUAGUAAGUGAUACGUCUUGGCCUUAAACCGAAGGCAGCGUGACAUCAAAGUCCCACUGUGGUCCAAAGUGAUUCUACCAACUCAAAACCUUGUUCUCUCAUGGCCCUUGUACCAUUAUUCACAAUGCUGAAAAAGGAGAUGGCAUCCCUCAGCUGGUACAUAGCUUUAAAAUAGCCCUAUGAUGUGCUGUAGGAAUUCCUACCAUUCCUACCUCCAGUACCAUUUAAGUUACCCACCCACUUGGGCGUGGCCUCUUAUACUAUUUAUGCCCUUGUAAAGCAGGCAUCCGCCCACUUUUCUGGCUGCAGGAUUUGGUUCCUGUUCCUCGUUCGAGCAGAGGACUGAGAUCUGACAUGGAGUACAUCGACACGGUUGACUGGUUCAAGCAACUGACAAUGGCUGGCGAAUUCAGGAAGUGGCAGGCCCUCGAUAUGACUUCAUAAACCACCUGGGAUCUGAUUACACAUAGGACCCAACAUGGCAGGGAAGGAAGGAAACAUGAAAAGCUGGAACAUGAAGGACCAAAGCAGGAACAUGACGCUGGCCACAUUGCACCUGCAAAUAUCAGAGGACA